CACCCCAGUCACUAAUCCCUCCCCUGGCGGGCCCCACCCCCGACCCCUCCCGGAAGCGCCGGCCGAGCGGCCCCACAUGGAGCGCGAGCCGUGCGCCUCCGAGGCCGCCCCUGCGGCGGCCGCGCUCUUCGCCUGGGGUGCAAACAGCUACGGGCAACUUGGCCUUGGCCAUAAGGAAGAUGUAUUUUUGCCCCAGCAACUGAAUGACUUCUGUAAACCUGAGUGUAUCAGGAGGAUCACGGGAGGAGGGGGCCACUCUGCUGUUGUCACAGAUGAUGGAGGCCUUUUUGUUUGUGGCCUGAACAAAGACGGGCAACUGGGGCUUGGUCACACAGAAGAUGUUCUGUAUUUUACUGCCUGCAGAUCCCUCCUGGACUGUCCUAUCCAACAGGUAGCCUGUGGCUGGGAUUUUACCAUUAUUCUCACAGAAAGUGGGCAAGUUCUGUCAUGUGGAUCCAAUUCCUUUGGCCAGUUAGGAGUUCCUCAUGGCCCUCGAAGAUGCAUGGUUCCCCAGGCCAUUGAGCUCCUGAGCGAGAAGGUUGUUUGCAUUGCUGCUGGACUGAGGCAUGCUUUAGCUGCUACAGCAAGUGGCAUUGUAUUCCAGUGGGGGACUGGUUUGGCAUCAUCUGGACGGCGGUUGUGCCCUGGGCAGACUCUCCCACCGUUUUUGACAGCAAAGGAACCAAGUAGAGUGACAGGCCUGGAGAAUUCUAAAGCAACCUGUGUUCUUGCUGGCUCAGAUCACUCAGCUUCAUUGACAGAUGCAGGAGAGCUGUAUGUUUGGGGAAGCAACAAGCAUGGGCAACUGGCUUCCUUGGCUGCUUUUCUUCCUAUGCCCCAGAAAAUAGAAGCACAUUGUUUUCAGAAUGAAAAGGUCACUUCUGUCUGGAGUGGGUGGACACACCUGGUUGCUCAGACAGAAACUGGGAAGGUGUUUACCUGGGGCCGAGCGGACUAUGGUCAACUAGGGAGGAAGUUGGAGUCUCAUGAAGACUGGAAACUACAAAAUCAGGAUCCAUCGCGCCCCUGCUCAGGACCUCAGAAGAGCAUGCCUUCCUCUCUGCAUUGCUUAACAGGAGCAGCUGAGGUCUCUUGUGGCUCAGAGCAUAAUCUGGCAGUGAUUGUUGUAUGAUCCUGGGCUGGUCACCCGAUCUCUCUAAGCAAGAAAUGCCUUGAAGAGCCCUACUGGAAGAUAAAGAUAAUGCAGAUAAAGUGGCCACAUAUAUGAUGUGCUUGACAAUAAGCAGGUAAACACCGGGCUUUGGAUUUACACUGGAAGGUGCGUGCGAUUGAGUCAUCCUGGGGAGAUGAAGGCAAAUACAGCUGAGCCCUGAAGGAUGAAGCAGGAUUUGACCAUCAGGAGACAGAAGGAGGAAAGGGGUCUCUGCCCUGCUCUUCCUCCUCGGCCCCCUGCGGCAGCCCCCACUGCUGCCGUGCGACCGGAAGCCGGCUGCCGCUGCCCGUUUGCUGUAGGAGCUGGCCAGCCCCAGCCCCGGAGGAGCCUCUACCCUUGCUUGUCAGAUUUGACGCAGUGCCUAAAGCAUAUAGUGCAAAGCAAGAGAGCCCGUGCUGGGCAGCUCUUGGAAGAGUACCCAGGAGGAGAGGAGGCACGAGGGCCCUUGGCAGGGGAAUGGGCGGCCUGGAAGGAGGUACCUUUUUUUGUGAUUGUGCCUACCCCUCCUAGGGGCCUGGGAGGCUGAGCUAUUACUUUGAGUGUGUGAUGUUAGACUCAGAGUGUUUUGUGUCUUUAUUUUAAAACUGGCUUCUCAGUCUCCUGUGCAGUUUCCUGUCAGCUCGUUGCCAUGGAGAAGUCGGUUGGGCCUGGAAGCUCUUGUCCCUCUCUGUGUCAGCAUUUUUGGACCCGCCAGCUGCCUCGUGUCCCUCUACAGAUGGACGGGGCGCAGGACCCCACUGGGUGGGCAGGCCCUUGCUCUGCAAGGACUGGAGCUGCAUCUUGAUUCCCUUCGGGGUAGGAGUUUCAUUCAUCUGUGUACUGACUCAGCAGCUCUGUCGUGCCUGCCUCUGUGGGCCAGGCAUGGCGCUGUGCUCCGCGAGCACCAAGAUGACUGUGGCUCCGGGGGGGCACACACAUCGUCAGGCAGGACCCUGCCGGCCAGUUCUUUCUCACCAUCCCUUUCUUGUCUGUUCCUCAACCUCAUUCUUUCUUAGAAUUUAAAGGACUGUGUGUGCUUCUCCUCCAACCUUUAUCACUGCUCAUUUAGAAUCUCCCUGGGAGUUUCCUACUAGUCUCCACGCUUCUGGAUCUCAUUUCCUCUCUGUGUCUCCAGCACCAGGCUCAGGAUAUCAGACAAAAGAGGGGCUCCUCCAGAAAGUAUCUGUCCAAUGGAAUCCUUUCUCAGACUCUCAGGGUGUCUGUCUGUCCUGUCUUUCUUCCUCUCUUCUGGGCCUAGAGGCAGCGUGGCUGGCAGCAUGAGCCAGUGGAAAAAGGAAGGACUUUGGAACCAGGUCAGUCUGUGCUUGAGUUUUGGCACCAUCUUUUACUAGCUGUAUGAUCUCAAGCAAGUGGCUUCUUCCCUUGGAGCCUUAGUCAAACCAAGUACUUUUAUUUAAACCUGAAUCGUCUGUCAGUCAGUAAUUGAGUUUGGACGUUUUAAAAAUCAGAGUAGGAAGUACUGGUGGCCAUUUACCCCUACCGGGCACUGUCCUUCCACAUCUAUGUGGGACCCAGUUGAGAAAAGGUUUGGAGCUGUGUUCUGGCUAUGACCCUGAGGUGUGGUGUAACAUGAUCAAGUCUCUUUUCUUUCCAAGACCUCAGUUUUCCUAUUUGAAAAAUUCAGGAAUUGGAUUAGGUGAUCUUGAGGAGUUCUUUUCACUCUAAAAACCCGAAGAUUCAACUUUAAAAGGAAAAUCUUCCCACAGCUGGUAUGACCAUCACCGCCGUUGCCCCCAGGUCGGAGGUUGGCCUCAGCAUGGCCCCUUCUGCCAGCCUCUCAAGCUACUCUCCCAGGAAGCUCUGGGCUGGAACUCUGGUGUUGGUUGCAGAAAUCUCUUUUGGAUGUCAUAGUCCUUUUGAAUGCGUCAUCUCUGUGCCACCCCAAUCUAGAGACAAGGCUUGGCUUGUAUCCCAGAACAGUGGAGAAUUGCUAGAAAGUGGAGUUUUUUCCUUCUUCACCUGUGUCUUGCUUUUCUUCAGGACCUGUUGCCUUCCUGAGCCUUUGGCUAGUGAGGAUUGUAUUUCUUGAACUACCUGCAAGCCAGGGCUCUGUGCCAGUGGAGAAGAGAUACAGGAGGCACUUCCCCCACAUUGUCAUACAUGGACUCCAAUCUGUGUUAUGGAUAGGCGAAACAAAGCAGAGCCAUAAAGUUCAUGAGAGGCUUGUCCAGGGAGUUUACCUAGUCCUAGUCCUCUGCCUUGGGCAAGUUCUUCCCUUCUCCAGUGCCCAGUGUCCUCUUCAGUCGCGUUGAGAGGGUUGGGCCAGUGAUCUCAAAGUUCCCUUCCUGCUCUGGAACUUCUUUUCGAAGUGCUGUAGCUCAGCUCAGGGAAGGAAUGCUCGUUGUAGACUUUCUAGUGGAAGGAGGACUGGAGCCAAGCCUUGAAGGCUAGACGAGGAUUUGGACUGGCCCAGGAGAAAUGGAUAAGGCCUCCCUGACUGAAAGAAGUGGAAGGAGCGUGUGUGAGCACAGUCAGAGACUGUAGAGCAUGGGGGAGGGUGCAGCAGGGUGGAAAGCCCCCCUGACCAAAGCAGAGGGUUCAUGUGGGUCAUGAGGAGUGAGAGCAGUCUUGGAGGAGGUAGCUCUUGCUGUCCCUCUGAGAGCCCUCAUCCCCAGGGCUGUGGGGUAGCAGUGGUCCCUAAGGACAGAGAAGCAAACAACGUGGGUUAAAACCAGGCCCCUCCCUAACGGGGGGCCCCAGUCUGAUGCUUCUUGUGACAGAAAGACCUCCAACCAAGAAGGUACGUGGGUCAAAGCUAGGAGAGGACCCCCCCUCCAGGUCCUUUCCUUCUCGCUUCAGCCAGCAGGUUCUUGGUUGGUAGGAUCAGGGCAGAGUGUGGAAGAGUAAGUCUACCCAAGAGAGCCGCCCUGCUGUCAUGCUUUGUUCUUCCCCAAACGUUUUCUUGAAGUCAGGGUGACAGGAGGGGUAUUUUGACUAUGUCCUUGGGAGUGGAUUCUAGAUCCAUCUAUGAGGCUUAUGAAUCAAAGAGUGUCACAUCCUAGACCUCGCUGUGACCUCCAUCCUCCCAGUCCUCUGGCUCAGGCUGACUCCUGUCACCCCUCCGAACCCGCAGCUUCACGAUGCCAGGCCCCCUUGGUCCCGCCUCCUUGCUUUCUCUCCCGCCGUCUGUCUUCUUCAUCCCACUGCUUCUGAGAGACAGUACGGGCUUCGCUCAUGCUCUUUCCCCUGGACUUUGCCUCUGCCUCCAAGCAGAUCUUCCUGCCGCCCCUCCUCCACGUUCAGUCCAAGUGCUCCCUCUGUGUUAUCCACUGUGACGACAGCGACAAUGAUGAUGACAGUUAUUAUCCAGAUUUUGUUUCUGAAGCACAGCUCUGAUUCUGCUACUCUCUUGCUCAAAGGUCUUAGUGGCUUCCAAUGGCUGCUGGAUAAAGUCCAAAAUCUUUAGUCAGGCAUUUUGAGGAUUAUAUUUCCUGAGCCAUCUGCAGUGAUAUGCCCCCUACCUAUCCUUCCAAAUUUAUUUCCUUCUACUGCCUUUUGCACUGCCUCUCCUUCCACUAGACCGAGCUACCACCACUAGCUCUACAAGCCCCCUCUACUCCUGCUUGGAAGGCCCUUCCUCCCCCUCUCUUAACUUUUCUUUUUUCAUCGGGAUGUCUCCUCUGAUCACCUAGACUACAUACUCGUUGAUGGUUCAUUCUGUAUCCCUUAUAGCAUCUACCAAGGUAAACUCAAAUGGUUUUGGGGCGGGGUGAGUGACUAGAAAGACCUAGUUUAGCCCCCUGUUUUUGAGCAAGCUUGAAAUUAGGGGAAGCUCAGUCAUCAAGGCCUGUCCAGGAGGGCCUCGGUGCCUAUGCAAUUCCUUGAGGGGAUCUGGAAGUUACCCAGUGUCCGUGGGCACAUACUCAGCCAGCAAGCUCCACAUGCUCGUGCCUUGUCUCUGCUGCAUACAAGCAAAUUAGCAGGAGAGGGUAGAAACCCAGGAGAACCAUACUAGCUGUGGACUUGGCUCUUGCUAGUUCAGGAUAGGGAUCAACCAUCCAAGGUGUAGGGCCCUGUAUGAUCCUGGGAAUGUAUCCUGGAGGGGUUGUUUGGGGUCCUUCAGCAGGAAGGUGAGGGGUCUGAGAGCAGGAAUCUUAAAGUAAUUAUUGCGGGGCAUUCAGAUUCCAAGGGGACCCAGCUAGAUAUCAGCUUGGGGGACAGAUACAAGGUUCAGGUCCUGAGGUGGUGAGAUGGCAACAGAGGUAGGCAGAGUGUCAGAGUCCUGCCCCUCCAGCUACAGUGAACUCAGACCCUCUGGCCUCAGCAAUCCUCAGUUUAGGGGUCACUAGGCCUUUGGCUGGGCAUUCCCUGGGGCGGUCAGCAGGGAGGCUGUCAGAGGGAAAUGGGCUCCCUUUCUGGUCAGGAUUGGCUUGGAAACAGGCAUGACCUCAAUUUGGAGACACCUUCCUCUGGUCUUCGGUUCCCUGAGGCAGGCAGAACAGGGGGAGGCCAUGGCUGACAUUUUGCUAGGCCUGGAGGUAAGUCCUGUCUCUCCUCCUGGUUCGCAGUCUGGCUCACCAGGCCCUUACCUCCAUUUCAGACUCAGGCCAUGAUCUAGCCACCUCUGGGCCACUGUUGGGAAAAGUCAGUCUCAAGCUGAUACUCACUGCCUGUAAAUGGCGUGGAAUUAGGCUAAUCAGUGACUCUUAAUUCCCCAACAAAUGCAAGUGCUGUGCUAAUUGCCAGGGUCCACGCAGGCAGAUCCCUGGCUGGCAGCAUCAAACAAGAGAAGUGCUAAUUUGGGGGCUGGAGUGGGGGAGGGCCUGCUUUGUUGGCUGAGCCAGUUAAAAACCGUAUCACCCCGAAUGAGCCGUAGUGCAGAGAGCCGGGCUCUGGCCUCCUUAUCAGCCAACAGCCACUUGAGUGGCCCACAAGUGUGCUUGCAAGAGCUGAACCUCAACACCAGUGGAGCAGUUUCUUGUCCAUUAAUGGGAUUCUUUUUGGCUCAUCAAGGAAGAUUCCACAAGCAGCCUGGCAUGGCACUGCCAGGGCAGCUCAUGGGGGAUAAAGCAUCCCGAACCUUAGUGUGCUGUUACCAUGGCAACGUGGCAUUCCAGACUCUCCAGGCAACCUUCCUGGCAUCUGCUGCUGUGAACGAUUCAGAUGGAGAAGGGCCACUGCUCUUUCUUCAGUAGAGACAGAACAAAUUGUGAAGACAGGGAGCCAUGCACUGAGGACCAGAUCUUAAAGGAAAAUGCUAUUCCAUUGGUAUGGGACCUUCUUGGUGAAAUGGUAUUUUGAGUAGUUAAAGCUAUCCAUUCUGUCUGUUCUAGUCUGUCCGGGAGAACCGCAGAAUCAGGAGAGACCUCCCAGAGGAAAAAAGUGAGAGGAGAUGGGGAAGAGCAGUAUGAACAAAGGCCGGGCCGGGAAGGCAGAUGGAGAGAGUAGAUGGGGUGGGCAGUUAGGUUUGGUGGGAGAAAAGACACUGGUAGAGGUGGACAGGUGUCAGCCUUGUCUCUCCAAAACUUGCUGCUCUGAGCCCUAGGCAAAGGCCUGACGGUGGCUUCACUCCACCCAGACAAUGGGGGGAGGACACUCUGCCUUCCUUUCCUGAGGUGUGAGGACUGGUCUCUGCCCCUCACACCUUACUUCAGGGGGCCAUUUCUUCUUCUCUGUCUUGGCUUACAAGUGUUUGCCUUAUCUCUUCUACCUGCUAGCAUCAUUGAACCUCUGCGUUUCAUAGGCAUACUGAGAUCCAGAGAGGAAGAUGCUUGCCUGAGGUAUCCAAGAUACAGAGGCCAUGGAAUACAGGAGUUAAGAACUUCGAAUUUGGAGACAGACUGACCUGGUUUGCGUCCUGGCUCCACCAUUCAGUUUCCAGGGGAGCCUGAGCCUCAGCUUCUUCAGGGGUGAAAUAGGGAUCCUGAACAUGCCUGCCCACCGCGGUAUGACAGGUGUGAACUGAGAGAGUGGAAAUAGUACCACAGGAUUCCCAGAAUGUCGUUGAGUGUUCAGGAAAUGUUGCUUAGUAAGAGAUUGGGAAUUCCUUAAGAAAUGGGGACUGCCUUCCUCAUCUUCGCUCCUUCCUCCUCCUCUUUCCUCGUACACGUGAGCACCUAGGUAGUACUGCGUCUGGAGUUGAUAGAAGGGUGUUUGUGGAUUGAAUGACCGCUCAGAGUGAAGAACUGCCCUUGUUGGCGGGCUCUCCACUCCCGUCAGGUGUGUUCGGCUUUGGUGCUGUUUGGGCUCCCCACGCCUGGAGUCAGGCAGGCCCAGGGUCCUGUGCUGCUCAGCCCACAGAGGGAAGUGACUUGCCCAUUUGGGUCCCAGAUGCAGCUGCCCUGUGGCCCAGGACUUGUACUUCCCAGGAUUGUUGGUUUCUUGAAGGACACAAAUAGAUUCUGUCAAUCUUUGGGCACGAUAUAUGGUGUAAAUGGUAACGAAUAGCUUUAGAGUACACAAAAGGUUUGCGUUCCCUCACAUGAACCUCACUGUAGCAUGGGAUUGUCAGGAGUCCUCUCCCCGAGUUCAGGAGGACGUGCCCAAGGCUUAGUACCAGGGAGCAGAUGGUCCAGAGACACACGGCAGGAAGAGCUGGAGCAGGGGCAUGGCCCCAUCUUCCGACUUCAGCUCUGGUGACCCACCAAAUGAAAGCUCUUUGGGUCCAUAUUUCUUCCAUGGGACUGAGAGCCCUGGGAUGUGAUCCCAGUGAGGUGAGGAGCUCUGAGCUUGGAGUCAAGAUGCCACGAUUUUGGUCAUGACCCUAUCACUUCCAAGGGUGCAGUUCCUAAGUGAGCACCUCUCUUCUAGACACGCUCGUCCCCUGAUCUUCCUGCUCUGGGUUUAUAGUGGGGCUGAGGGUGCUUUGGAAAGUCUGAAACUCCAGUUGGGUGACUAGGGAGAGGGGCAUUGUUUUCAGUCAACGGCCUCUCCAUGUGCCACCUCAACCCAGCAAGGCUGCAACCUUUUAGCACAUCUGGAUGUGCUCUGAAAUGACACACAGCCUGGGUGUGUUGGGAGCAUUGUCCUGAAACAUUAACCGUCACAGUUGGAGAUCAGUAAAGCUGGUGCCUUGAGUUUAUAGGAGUGGAAGCAGAGGACCUGGGAGGGGCAGUGGCUCACCCACGUCCAUGCGCUGAGUCAGUGGCAGAGCUGGCCCCGCAGUCCUCUGAUAGGGCCAUGCGGCCCACACCCAGCAGAGCCUGACGUUUGCCUUUGCUCUUAUGUGAACUCAUUUUAAAGCAUCAGAUAAAGGCACAACAGUUUUUAAGAACUUCGUAUAUCAGACAGUAUUUUCAACAGUUUUUAAAAAAUCUUUUAUUAUAAAAGUAAUACAUGAUCAAUGAAGAAAGUUUGGGUAGUAGAGAAAUAUUCCACUUAGAAGAUAACAAACUGAGUAAUGAUCUUAAACGUCAGGAACACCCCUGUUGGGUGGCUUGCUGUCUUUUAGAUGAAGCUUUCAGACCAAUGGCUCCCCCAGCCCCGUAACACCCUCUGGAAGUUUAGCUACAGAAAGUAGGAGAUUAACAUUUACAGACGCCUCUGAGGACCAUUCAUUCAGCGACUUGAGAAAGUUAUAUACACUACUGCUAAUAGCAGGAGCAGUGGUGGUUAGUGUCUGGAGAGUCUCCUCUGGGUAACAUACCAGUUCUUUUUUUUAAAAUAUAUAUAAAGAUUUUUUUUAUUUAUUUGAGAGAGAGAGUAAGCAGAAGCAGACUUCCCA